rnacentral:rRNA from 1 species
AGAGUUUGAUCAUGGCUCAGAUUGAACGCUGGCGGCGUGCUUAACACAUGCAAGUCGAGCGGUAACGCGGGAGCAAUCCUGGCGACGAGCGGCGAACGGGUGAGUAAUGCUUCGGAAUCUACCUUUUAGUGGGGAAUAACUAGCCGAAAGGUUAGCUAAUACCGCAUACGUCCUACGGGAGAAAGCGGGGGCUCGCAAGACCUCGCGCUGAUAGAUGAGCCGAAGUCGGAUUAGCUAGUUGGUAGGGUAACGGCCUACCAAGGCGACGAUCCGUAGCUGGUCUGAGAGGACGACCAGCCACAUUGGGACUGAGACACGGCCCAAACUCCUACGGGAGGCAGCAGUGGGGAAUAUUGGACAAUGGGGGAAACCCUGAUCCAGCGACGCCGCGUGUGUGAAGAAGGCCUGCGGGGUUGUAAAGCACUUUUAGUGGGGAUGAAAAGUUCAGGAUUAAUACUCCUGGAUGUUGACCUAACCCAAAGAAAAAGCACCGGCUAACUCUGUGCCAGCAGCCGCGGUAAUACAGAGGGUGCAAGCGUUAAUCGGAAUUACUGGGCGUAAAGCGUGCGUAGACGGUUAUGUAAGUCAGGUGUGAAAGCCCCGGGCUCAACCUGGGAAUUGCAUUUGAGACUGCAUAGCUAGGGUGCGGAAGAGGGAAGCGGAAUUUCCGGUGUAGCGGUGAAAUGCGUAGAUAUCGGAAGGAACAUCAGUGGCGAAAGCGGCUUCCUGGUCCAGCACCGACGUUCAGGCACGAAAGCGUGGGGAGCAAACAGGAUUAGAUACCCUAGUAGUCC